rnacentral:misc_RNA from 1 species
GGGCUUGCUGAGCCAGGAAGACGCCAUUACAGCUUGCCCAUGCCACUCGCAGGCUCACACGCACACAGAGACACACACACAUGCUGGAGAGGCGUAUCGCAUGUGGGCUCUGUCGCACUCCGCAAGUUGCCUGUUUUCCCUUUGCUUUUAAGUGCACGCCCUUGUCUCUUCUGGUAAACUUAUAUGGUUUGAUAAUGUGACAGAGCAAGGAGCCGUACGCAGGCAUCCGCACAUACAGGCUCGUACCAACACACGCACAACGCGUAUGUAUGUGUGGGUGUGUAUGUGAGCUCUCGCACUACCCGCUGCACAUCCUCGCCUCACCACCCCCUUAUCACCGUUUGAUGUGGUGCAGUUCUUCUCUUUUAUCUCUUCAUCCUUUUGUUUUUUUAUUCCCGUUCCCAUCCCUCCCCCUCUCUGCUCCCCUUUCUCUUCCCUCAUUCUCUUCCUCCUCCACCCCCCAACUCUCUUCCCCCCCCCCCCAACUCUCUUUCCCCCUCCACUCUCUUUUCCCUCCCCCUCUUCUCUCCCCAGGUUUUGGUCUGCACAGGCGCCCACAGUGUCCCUCAUGCUCUCCGGAACGUAUUUUAUUCACAUUUAUAUGUCUGGUGUGUGGGUGCGUCUUCCUCCAUGGACGGGGGGUCUUUGCCUUCUUCGUUGUGGUGUGCUUAAAGUUCCUCCCUUUUUUUUUCAUUCUCUCGCACUGUUUCGGCCCUUCCCCCCCCCCCCCGGCCCGCCUCGUUUUGGCGUGUACUCCCGCGGGCUCGUGUCUGUCUGCAUAUAAACGUGUAUGCGUGUGUGUGUGUGUCUCUGUGUGUAUAUCUCCUAUCCUGUAUUUUGGUGGCACUCCUGUGACGUCUAUGCAGCGUGCGCGCUGGAGUAGGCGAGAAGAAACCGAUGAGGACGAGGUGGGCUUGGGUGCUUUCGAAGCAUGCAUGAGGGGGCUGUCGGAGCCUCUCGUGCGUGUCUGCGCUGCACUGUCUCUCACUUCCCUACUUCGCAGCCUUUCGAGAGGUGCUGGCACCUCUUCCCUCUUCCCCACAUAACUGUUAUACACGCCUACAUCGAUACGAGCGCUUCGCUGCGGGGAGUUCGGCCAUUUUGCAUUAUGUGGACAGCAGAACAAAACAGAACGAAGCACGAGCGCCCGCUUUGGAAGCGUCUUGCCUACGUGUGUGCGUGUGUGGACCUUCUAUGCGUCCUCCCUCCCCCUCCCCGUAGUGGGCCAUGUCUCGGGGAGAGACAAGAGACAGCGCGUGCCACGCAUUGGUGGAAAACAGAAGAACAAACACGGAAGGCAGGGACACCGCACACGUGGCGUUCACACGAGAAGGGAAUGCCUCAUGCUCGGGAGAGCCGACAGAGGAGCCUCUUGUGGCCCUUUUCGCUUGCAGGGCGAACGCGCAAAAC